rnacentral:lncRNA from 10 species
GGGAAAGCACAGCGUCCCUGACCCCAGGUCCUCGGUGGACUCGGGAACAAGGACGGGCUGAAUUCAGCUACCGCCUCAUUUAAUGUGGAGCCGUCAUUCAGGACGUGUGUCUCCAUCGGAGACAAAGCCAGCCUUCCUGUGCGUGGCAUAGCGGGAGCCCCAGUCUACAUAACUGACUCCAGCAAUUUCCUCUCCUAACCACACCUGCCACUCUCCUCCCUACCCUGAAAGUAAUAGGACUCAGCUUCCACAGCCACCACGCCGUUCACACCACCUUUAUGUCAAGAGGGUCACAGCAUCCCAGGGAGGUCAGCAGGGAAGGUCCCAGCAUCCCCAUCACACAGAGGAGGAAGCUGAGGCCAGGAGGGCGUCUGGCCGGUUCAAGAUUACAAAAUCUUCCCAGGGCAAGAACCUGCAUCUU